rnacentral:misc_RNA from 1 species
GGAAGUAAAAGUCGUAACAAGAUUUCCGUAGGUGAACCUGCGGAAGGAUCAUUAAAGUUAUAGUCCCCCGGCCCUCUGGGCUGGGGUCUUCUAUACCACCCUUUGUUUAUUACACCUUUGUUGCUUUGGCAGGCCUGCCCUCGGGCUGCUGGCUCCGGCCGGCUCGCGUCUGCCAGAGGACCUAAACUCUGUUUGUAUAUGAAGUCUGAGUACUAUAUAAUAGCUAAAACUUUCAACAACGGAUCUCUUGGUUCUG